rnacentral:rRNA from 1 species
UGGGGAAUAUUGGACAAUGGGCGAAAGCCUGAUCCAGCCAUGCCGCGUGUGUGAAGAAGGUCUUCGGAUUGUAAAGCACUUUAAGUUGGGAGGAAGGGCAGUAAGUUAAUACCUUGCUGUUUUGACGUUACCGACAGAAUAAGCACCGGCUAACUCUGUGCCAGCAGCCGCGGUAAUACAGAGGGUGCAAGCGUUAAUCGGAAUUACUGGGCGUAAAGCGCGCGUAGGUGGUUUGUUAAGUUGGAUGUGAAAGCCCCGGGCUCAACCUGGGAACUGCAUCCAAAACUGGCAGGCUAGAGUACGGUAGAGGGUGGUGGAAUUUCCUGUGUAGCGGUGAAAUGCGUAGAUAUAGGAAGGAACACCAGUGGCGAAGGCGACCACCUGGACUGAUACUGACACUGAGGUGCGAAAGCGUGGUGAGCAAACA